rnacentral:lncRNA from 1 species
AAGCCUACUUGUCAAACAGAUAGGACUAAAAGCUGUGUUGCCUAGCAUAAUAUUAAUCUGGCAUUGGCAUAAUAGAAAAAUAUUGGCAUGCAUCUUAGUGGAUUUCUUUUAGAACCAAACAUGAAACAAAAUAUGUCUCUAGGACUAAAAGCUCGUGUCCUAUCAGACUUCUGAAUCAAUGUAACCUCAUGCUCUGUUCUCUUAUAAAACACUGGGAAUUAUGUCCACUGCCUCCUCACAUUUUAUGUUCAUGAUAUUUCAUGAUGCACUUUGCUGCAAAUUGACUUCUACUAGAGAAUUACAAAAUAUCCACAUGCGCAUGAUUCUUGGCCAUAUGUGGACUUUAUUAAAUCAUCAUGUGCAUCAAACAUUCCCAGUGCUAUGCCCUAGAUAAAAGAUGAUUAAAGGGUCUUCUCUCUUCCAGAAUCCCCAUGCAAAUAGUAUUUUAUGACCCUCUGAGGACAUACCUGACUACUCAUUGGCAAAUAUGGUAAAAAACCGAGUGUGAACAUUGGUCCGAAGCUAGCUUGCCUAGCAUAAUAUUAAUCUUACAUGAUCUAAUGAACUUUAGUUUGAACUAAUAUUUUUAGAGACUUGACAGCAAAAAACUAGCUUUUCAGUGCCACC